AACAUGCAAAUGCUGAGAGCAAAGUUAAAAGUGUUGGAUGUUUCAUAUGGAACUGGGACAGGUAACACGGCUCUCAUAUAUCACCAUGGGAAGCUGCUCGCACUUUCGGAGGCAGAUAAACCUUAUGUUAUAAAAGUGUUGGAGGAUGGAGAUCUGCAGACACUUGGUCUGCUGGAUUAUGACAAGAGAUUAACACACUCCUUCACUGCUCAUCCAAAGGU
rnacentral:misc_RNA from 1 species